UACGUAGGGGGCAAGCGUUGUCCGGAAUCAUUGGGCGUAAAGAGCGUGUAGGCGGCCCGGUAAGUCCGCUGUGAAAGUCCAGGGCUCAACCCUGGGAUGCCGGUGGAUACUGUCGGGCUCGAGUCCGGAAGAGGAGUGUGGAAUUCCUGGUGUAGCGGUGAAAUGCGUAGAUAUCUGGAGGAACACCGGUGGCGAAGGCGGCAUCCUGGACCGGUAUUGACGCUGAGGCGCGAAAGCUAGGGGAGCAAACGGG
rnacentral:rRNA from 1 species